rnacentral:misc_RNA from 1 species
AAAAUAAUCCUACCCUUUGUGAAUUUUGUUUGUUUGAAUAAUUUUUUUUUUUAAAAAAUUAUUGGAGUCUUUCCCUUUAGAGUUUGCUUUUGAGUUUGUAAAAGAAUUCGAAAACAUCUAAAGGGGAUGGUCAAUAAUUUUUUUUGAAAAAAGACAUUUUUUAAAAUUAAACUUUUUGUAUUCAUUUGUCUAAAAAUUAUUUUUAUAAUAUAAAAACAACUUUUGACAAUGGAUCUCUUGGUUCUCGCAACGAUGAAGAACGCAGCAAAAUGCGAUAAGUAGUGUGAAUUGCAGAAUACGUGAAUCAUCGAAUCUUUGAACGCAUAUUGCACUUUUUUAGUUUACUAAAAAAGUAUGUCUGUUUGAGUAUCAGUAAAAUAUUCUCAUAAAAAUCAUUGUAUUUUUAUGGUUAUGAGUGUUUUACAACGAUACAAGUUGUUUCACUUUAAAUUUUUUUUUAAUAUUGAAAUUUUUCUAAUUUUAAUAAUUAAAAUUGGAUAAAAUUUUCCCGUCAAAAGGAAUAACCUAAACAAUUUUAAACGAUUAAUUUUAGCAAAAUUUUCGUAAAAAAGGAAAAUUUUUAUUAAAAUAACUUGAUCUCAAAUCAGAUAAGAGUACCCGCUGAACUUAAGCAUAUCAAUAAGCGGAGGAAAAGAAACUAACAAGGAUUCCCUUAGUAACGGCGAGUGAAGCGGGAAGAGCUCAAAUUUGAAAUCUUCAAGGUUUUACCUUGACGAAUUGUAGUUUAAAGAAGUGUUUUCUGCUGAAGUUUUGGUAAAAGUUCUUUGGAAUAGGACAUCAUAGAGGGUGAGAAUCCCGUAUUUGACCAUUAUUUUCAGCUUUGUGAUACACUUUCAAAGAGUCGGAUUGUUUGGGAAUGCAGUCCAAAAUGGGUGGUAAAUUUCAUCUAAAGCUAAAUAUUGGCGAGAGACCGAUAGCGAACAAGUACCGUGAGGGAAAGAUGAAAAGAACUUUGAAAAGAGAGUUAAACAGUACGUGAAAUUGUCAAAAGGGAAGCGUUUGACACCAGUGUUGUUUUCUCGAAAAUCAAUUAAAAAUGGCUCGAUUUUGUAUUGCUGAGACCUUAAAAGCUCACUGUACAUUUUUCGUGUCUUUUUUAAUGCACUUUUCGUUUAACAAGUCAACAUCAGUUUCUUUUGUUGUAAAAGGGUCAUUGGAAGGUGGCUUUCUUUUCGGAGAAAGUGUUUAUAGCCUUUGGCCUCUGCAAUCGGAGAGACUGAGGUCUGCAGCGUAGACUCUUCGGGGUUAGAUACAUUUGUGCUAAGUUAUAGCUUUUUAUAGACAACUUGUUGACUAUAAUUAGUCUUGUAGCUUACUCGCUUAUGCUAUUUUACCUACGCUUAGGAUG